CCUACGGGGGGCAGCAGUGAGGAAUAUUGGUCAAUGGCCGCAGGGCUGAACCAGCCAAGUCGCGUGAGGGAUGACGGUCCUAUGGAUUGUAAACCUCUUUUGUCAGGGAGCAAAGGGCGCCACGUGUGGCGCUUUGCGAGUACCUGAAGAAAAAGCAUCGGCUAACUCCGUGCCAGCAGCCGCGGUAAUACGGAGGAUGCGAGCGUUAUCCGGAUUUAUUGGGUUUAAAGGGUGCGCAGGCGGAAUGUCAAGUCAGUGGUAAAAUUUCGGGGCUCAACCCCGUCGUGCCGUUGAAACUGGCGUUCUUGAGUGAGCGAGAAGUAUGCGGAAUGCGUGGUGUAGCGGUGAAAUGCAUAGAUAUCACGCAGAACUCCGAUUGCGAAGGCAGCAUACCGGCGCUCAACUGACGCUCAUGCACGAAAGCGUGGGUAUCGAACAGGAUUAGAUACCCCGGUAGUC
rnacentral:rRNA from 1 species